CGAGGCCAGGCAGUCGGCGCGGCAGUCCGUACCGUGCUUUCUCCGAUAGGCGACGACGAGGACGCCGCGGUGCGCGAGCUAGCGCAAGCUCUUGUCGCGCGGCGUCACCAGUAGUUUCCCAUCCGCGCUCUACCGGCGGGCAGCCAUGUGCGUCGAGUUCGUGAUCUUCGUGCGCAACCUGGGAGCCCUGGUCAGAGCCACGGUGGGAGGUCACUCCGUCGAUCGGCCACAGCCAAUGGACACACCCGAACUCGGCGGUCGUGCGGUUGAGCGAUCGAGUCGGGAGGUGGGCACCAAGGUGAAGGAGUCCUAGGCUGUGACGUAGCCGUGGCCGGUGCAGCUGCGGGUACCCUCCUCGUUCGUGACCACUGACACCACUACUACACCACCACCUUCCGCUGGUUCCCGGUACGGCGAGGCCUGCGCGGGGCACGUGACUUUGCCAUCUUUUGGGCAGAAACCAACAUCUCCGGCGCCGGGCUGCCCACCGCAUCGCGGGCGGAAUCGUCGGUUGUAAAACACGAUGGUUGUUACAUUGAUGGUUGUAAAAGCAUGAGAAACGUAGCACCCACGUGGUCUCACGUACACACCCACACACCUUCGUCACACGGCAGAGUUUGAACUUUCGUACUUUCAAUCAAAGCGCCGAUAUAGAACGAGACAGGUACCGAAAACGUUUAGUAAUGCGGUCCGGUAAUUCCAUAUGUUUGCGGCGUCACCCUCGAGGAAAUGGUGCGGAAUCUGCGCUGGUGUGCUCCCCGUGUCCAAGUCGUGAAGAAUAACGCUGAAAACAUACGAAAUUAUUCAGCUGUCUACGGAAAUGGUACAAGGGGGAAAAGAGUGAGGAGGUGGCAGUGCAACUGAAAAACCGCAGCACAUAGCUUGUUACUGCACGGUCAGAGACAGAACGGGGACGUUACAGAAUAUCCUCCUGGGACCGGGCAAUAGGAAAUUUGUCCAACAAUUGUCACAAUCAAAAUCUUGGUGCAACAGUUCUGAAAGCAUCUCUUGAGACCACACUCAAACACGUUAGUCAGCUGGUACUACCAUGCCAAUACCACUACCUGCGCCGCAAGCCUGUGAGUAUGGUCUAAAUCACAUUGCUCCACGCCUUACCUCUGAGUUCCCAAUCUGGUAGGAAUCACCACGAUUGCGUUUUGCUGUGACUGUCGGGUCCGUUAGUACGUGUAGGCGCAUUUUGGCAUGUACUUUCACAUCGUUUAAGGGGACACUAAAGAUAAAUCCAAACGUACGAUCUUUUAGUGAAUCACACUUUACGCGACAGGCAGGACGUCCGCAUUGACUACGAGCGGAGGCUUGGUAAUACGGACAAGGGGCGCUAAACCUAGACUGGUGGCGACGCGGGUCCAGUUAAUAAUUUCGUGAUAAGUAAGGACCACCGUUGCACUAUAUAGAAACCAACUACUCAAACUAGCAGUUCUCGAUUACAUUACCGGCUGUAAUAUAGCCCAAAUUCUAAAAUAUAUUUAGAAAUCUGUGGCCGCGCCCCGGCGUUGAGGUUAAUUCAGCGAAAUACAAAAGUGAAAUCCGGUCUUCGUUUCCUCUAUUAUUGAUCGAAAUUUUAUGCCAAGUAAAGGAAUAUAGCGUUUAGAUGUUGGCUCUCGGAUCCUCGAUGACGCCAUUUUAGCGCAUUUGUCAGUAUUGAUAACAAUACAACAAUCUCGCUGAAAGACGUAUUUGAGCGCAGAAAAGUACCUCCAGAUACACAGCGGACGAGGACCCAUCGUAAAUUUCGAAACGUCUGCACAGGCGGAGCUUUAUUUAUUUUAACUUUUUUAUUGGUUUUUGCCCAAAUUAGCAUAACUGGUGGGACGAAAUUCAGUUUGGCAUACCGUAGUAUAUAGGGUGUCCCAGCUAGCGUUAGCCAAUCCGUUCAACGAUAAAAAAAAAUUAUUGAUAAAGACAGGGCGCAAGAUACAGUCUUAAGACCUGCGCUGUUCGAUCAUCAGCGUUCUGACAGCCUAACACAGUAUAUCUGAAACCGUGUCUUGCACCAUUCCUUUCUUUUUUUUUUUUUUCAACGGCUUGGCUAGCGUUAGCUGGGACACACAGUGUAACGCAGCGCUUGCACGCUUGCAC
rnacentral:lncRNA from 1 species